rnacentral:rRNA from 1 species
AGGAUUAACGCUGGCGGCGUGCCUAACACAUGCAAGUCGAACGAGGUAGCAAUACCUAGUGGCAGACGGGUGAGUAGCGCGUGGUCAACCUACCGUUGAGUGGGGGAUAACUAGCCGAAAGGUUAGCUAAUACCGCAUACGUCUCCGAGGGGCAUCCCUUGGUGAUAAAAGGAGCAAUCCGCUCGAUGACGGGACCGCGUCCCAUUAGCUAGUUGGUGGGGUAACGGCCUACCAAGGCAUCGAUGGGUAGCUGGUUUGAGAGAGCGACCAGCCACACUGGGACUGAGAUACGGCCCAGACUCCUACGGGAGGCAGCAGUGAGGAAUUUUCCGCAAUGGGCGAAAGCCUGACGGAGCGACGCCGCGUGUGGGAAGAAGGCCUUCGGGUCGUAACCACUGUCGAGGGGAAGAUAAUGACGGUACCCUUGGAGGAAGCCCCGGCUAACUACGUGCCAGCAGCCGC